GCUCUUCUAGUAUACUCAUUACAAUUGACUUCCAAUCUCUAGAAUCUGGCUCAAAUCCAGAGAAGAGCA
rnacentral:tRNA from 1 species